rnacentral:lncRNA from 1 species
UUUGCUGCAGUUGCUUUAAUGUUGAAGAGAUUCGCGUAGUGGUUUAACGUGUCCUUGACGAGUAUAUCAAGCUCGGGAUCGGGUAAAGCUGAAUGCAAUGCUGACUUUAAAGCGGUGUCACUAAGAGGCCUUUACUUCGCAAAUAUAAUUAAAAAGAUGAGUAAAAUGCCGUUUUUGUCCCUGAGGUUUGACCAGUUUUGCGACUUUCAUCCAAAGGUUUU